rnacentral:lncRNA from 1 species
AGCACUUCGGGAGGCCGAGAAGGGUGUACCACUUGAGUCCAGGAGUGUAAUAUGAGCCUCGGCAGCAUGGUGAAACCCCGUCUCUACUAAAAAUAGAAAAAUUAGCCAGGCCUGGUGGCGCCUGCCCGUAGUCCCAGCUACUUUUUGGGGGCUGAGGUGAAAGGACCACUUGAGCCUGUGAGGUUGAGGCUGCAGUGAACUGAGAUUGUGCCACUGCAUUCCAGCCUGGGUGACAAAGUGAGAUGAUCCUGUCUCAAAAAUAAAAAUAAAAGAUGCGCACAGAAAGCACAGCAUUAAGUAACUUUCAAAGACAUCUCCAGGGACAUAUAUCAAGCACAUGACAGUAAAAACCUAUGUGGAAAAGUUAGAAAAUUCAAGUGAGGUAAAAAACGGUGGAAAAUAGAGAAAAAUGAGAGGCGAUUUCCAAUGGCGAACUGAGAUGAUGAACUCAAUUCAGUGCACUAUUUCUUCCACUCUUACACUUUACAGGCUAAGAAGCCAUUCCUAGCAUUUCACUGGUAUAAACUCUUCAAAAUGGGAUUCUCAUCCUUUGAUUAUUUUAGGUUGACAAAUUUAUACCAAAAUACUGGGCUUUGUAAAUCGGCGUUUUUAUGACAGGUUUCCUUAAACAGUAUGUCUUUAAAAUAUUAAAUGGUAUCCCUUGUUUGUCUUGUCUUUUCCACAAGCAGAUGAAACUUCCUCCCCAACAAGCCGAUGGAAGAACUUAUGCAGUGUUACUUCAGGGAAGCGACAUGGCAGGGUGGAAGUAAAAUGGACCUGCACAUUUAAAGAAACGUUUUGUUUUGUUUCUUGAAGGGCCCCAGGGGCUUAUAAAGGAGAGGAAGGGGGUGGAGUGUGAGGUUGGUAAAAGCAGCGGAAGCUGGCUUGGCAUCCUGGAGGAGCAGGAAGAGAGUUCAUGUUCCACCUUCCCCUCUUCCCCACUAUUCCACAGGGUCUGGAGGAGAAGAGCAGAGGGGUCUCUGGUUCCCAGGAAAGGGCCUGGGCCAGACUUUCUGAUGGAGACAGCUGGGUGGUGAGUGUCCAGGCAGACAGGACUGAGGCUUGCCUCACAGAAGAUUCUCGCCACUCAAGUGAGGUGCAGAAGCAGCAGCGAGCCAGCACUUCUGAAGGGAACACCUGAGCACAACUCAUUCUUUCUUGAUGAGGCUUUGCUGCUGAGGAGUUCUUGCUAUUAAUACUUCUCUUCCUGCCAAAAAAAAAACCUGGUUCCUGCACAUUUACUGUGAAGGCACGUGAUGGCCCUACAGCACCCCCAGAAAUCAUCAAAAUUUGUACCAAAGAUCCAGAGCAGAGGUGGUGGGUUGCUGAGUGACUGCUCACAGAGGCAAUGUUGGUAGGGUCCUCGCAGAUGUCAGGGUCUUGCUACUCCUCAGUGAGGAGGAGGGAGAUUCCAAAUGGUGGCUAUCACCCAGACCACCUCCCCACAAUGUUCAUGCAGAGGGAAUGAGGCAGAAGAGCCACUGCCUGCCUAGCCACUUACCUCUGAGACUUGGUUUUAUCCUCUGUGUCCCACUCCAGCACUGAUUAUUAGCCUCCUGGUGCUCUAGGAUACAGCAGAGAGAGUUGGCUGGCUGUACUGGGGAGAAUGGGGAUGACAAAAGCCUAUGGAACCAGAUGUGUUGCAUGGGCCAAGAGCCAACUUCCACUUCACCCUGUGAAAUGAUGCUGAAAAUCAACCUGCAAACGGCAGAUGAAUACAAGGAAAGGCAUGCAGAUUUAUUAAUGUAUAUGAGGCAUACAAAAUAUAAGAACUCAAAGGCAAGAUGGCUG